CCUACGGGGGACAGCAGUGAGGAAUAUUGGUCAAUGGGCGGAAGCCUGAACCAGCCAAGUAGCGUGCAGGAUGACGGCCCUACGGGUUGUAAACUGCUUUUAUACGGGAAUAACGCGCCUUACGUGUAGGGCUUUGCAUGUACCGUAUGAAUAAGGACCGGCUAAUUCCGUACCAGCAGCCGCGGUAAUACGGAAGGUCCGGGCGUUAUCCGGAUUUAUUGGGUUUAAAGGGAGCGUAGGCCGCAUGUCAAGCGUGCUGUGAAAUGUCCGGGCUCAACCCGGGCCGUGCAGCGCGAACUGGCGUUCUUGAGUGCGCGGAAAGCAGGCGGAAUUCGUCGUGUAGCGGUGAAAUGCUUAGAUAUGACGAAGAACCCCGAUUGCGAAGGCAGCUUGCUGCAGCGGAACUGACGCUGAUGCUCGAAAGCGCGGGUAUCGAACAGGAUUAGAUACCCCUGUAGUC
rnacentral:rRNA from 1 species